AUUGAACGCUGGCGGCAUGCCUUACACAUGCAAGUCGAACGGCAGCGGACCUUCGGGUGCCGGCGAGUGGCGAACGGGUGAGUAAUAUAUCGGAACGUACCUUUCAGUGGGGGAUAACGUAGCGAAAGUUACGCUAAUACCGCAUAUUCUGUGAGCAGGAAAGCAGGGGAUCGCAAGACCUUGCGCUGAUUGAGCGGCCGAUAUCAGAUUAGCUAGUUGGUGAGGUAAAGGCUCACCAAGGCGACGAUCUGUAGCGGGUCUGAGAGGAUGAUCCGCCACACUGGAACUGAGACACGGUCCAGACUCCUACGGGAGGCAGCAGUGGGGAAUUUUGGACAAUGGGCGCAAGCCUGGUCCAGCCAUGCCGCGUGAGUGAAGAAGGCCUCGG
rnacentral:rRNA from 1 species